GCAGGUAUCGUAUAAAGGUUAUUAUGUCGCCUUGCCAAGGCGAAGAUACGGGUUCAAUUCCCGUUACCUGCUCCA
rnacentral:tRNA from 2 species